UACGAAGGGGGGCUAGCGUUGCUCGGAAUCACUGGGCGUAAAGCGCACGUAGGCGGCUUUUUUAAGUCAGGGGUGAAAUCCUGGAGCUCAACUCCAGAACUGCCUUUGAUACUGGGAAGCUUGAGUCCGGAAGAGGUGAGUGGAACUCCGAGUGUAGAGGUGAAAUUCGUAGAUAUUCGGAAGAAACACCAGUGGCGAAGGCGGCUCACUGGUCCGGUACUGACGCUGAGGUGCGAAAGCGUGGGGAGCAAACAGG
rnacentral:rRNA from 1 species